UGGGGAAUCUUGGACAAUGGGGGCAACCCCGAUCCAGCGAUGCCGCGUGAGCGAAGAAGGCCUUAGGGUUGUAAAGCUCUUUCGCCCGCGACGAUGUUGACGGUAGCGGGAGAAGAAGCCCCGGCUAACUCCGUGCCAGCAGCCGCGGUAAUACGGAGGGGGCUAGCGUUGUCCGGAAUUACUGGGCGUAAAGCGCGCGUAGGCGGUCCACCAAGUCGGGGGUGAAAGCCCGGGGCUCAACCCCGGAAUGUCCUCCGAGACUGUUGGACUGGAGUUCGGGAGAGGAGAGCGGAAUUCCCAGUGUAGAGGUGAAAUUCGUAGAUAUUGGGAAGAACACCGGUGGCGAAGGCGGCUCUCUGGCCCGCAACUGACGCUGAGGCGCGAAAGCGUGGGGAGCAAACA
rnacentral:rRNA from 1 species